CAAAAAUUCACCACAAAGGCAAGAAAUAGCAAAUCUCGCUUUUGCCUUGAGGAAAGCUUCCAGACUGGGAAACCUGAAGCUUGGAUUUAAUGGUUUGGGGAUCCUUCUCCCUGAAGGUGGAUAACCUAAGAGCAGAAGUAACUUCUAGAUGAAGGUGGAGGAAAAAAAAAAAAAUCUAAGACGACAGCUAUUCACCAGGAGCAGAAGACUGGGGAAGAAAUAACACGUUCUUCAAAGGAAAAUGGAUAUACACAGUGCCUGGCUCAGAAAACCUCCCAUUCAGUUGACAUCCUUUGGCUUGGACUUUUUUGG